rnacentral:rRNA from 1 species
UUGCACGCUGGCGGCAUGCUUUACCCCUGCAAGUCGCACGGCAGCGCGGGCUUCGGCCUGGCGGCGAGUGGCGAACGGGUGAGUAAUACAUCGGAACGUGCCCAGUAGUGGGGGAUAGCUCGGCGAAAGCCGGAUUAAUACCGCAUACGACCUGAGGGUGAAAGCGGGGGAUCUUCGGACCUCGCGCUAUUGGAGCGGCCGAUGGCAGAUUAGCUAGUUGGUGGGGUAAAGGCCUACCAAGGCGACGAUCUGUAGCUGGUCUGAGAGGACGACCAGCCACACUGGGACUGAGACACGGCCCAGACUCCUACGGGAGGCAGCAGUGGGGAAUUUUGGACAAUGGGCGAAAGCCUGAUCCAGCAAUGCCGCGUGUGUGAUGAAGGCCUUCGGGUUGUAAAGCACUUUUGGCGGGAACGAAAAGGACUGUGCCAAUACCACGGUUCGAUGACGGUACCCGCAGAAUAAGCACCGGCUAACUACGUG